AAAUAAUGUAAGCAAAAUAUAUUGACUUUAAGAUUGACACUCCAUUAUCUUCUCUGAUUGACUAGCAGUUUUCUUCUCGAAUUUUUCAGGAUGGAAAGGGAGCGUGUUGAGUUGUUGUAUUCAGUAGUUAGUGAGAUCAGCAAAGGGAUGGAACAAGUGAAACAGCUCAAAGAGUCUUCUAAUUCUAAUACUAAUUCUAACAAAGGAGUUUUGGACAAAAUGUUGUCUUCUGUAUUCAUUCUUACUGGGCCGUGCUCCACAGCAACAAUGUCACUCAGGGAUAUGAUCGUUAUCAGAUCAUCCUGCUCCUGCAUCUGCAAGAACCGGUUUUCUCAAAAGGUGAUUGUUUUUUCAACCACAAAUCAUAGGAGUAACUUUAUUCUUCAUCUUGGCUUGGCUUGGCUUGGCUUUGUAGGAGAGAUACUUAUAAUAUCACGCUUAAGGUACCUGGAGACUCAUCACUACCACCGGACGAUAAUUAUAGUUGGAAGAAGUAGGCCAAAAAGCAAUCCUUAUUUCCAAAUAUCCAAGGAAAACUAAAUCUACAAAGGUCAGAUGAUGGGACUAUGUUCGGGGUCACAUACAAGGGACGACAUGACAUGUAUGCCAACAAUCUCCCAAAUCAUACGAGAGAAUCAACAACAAUGUCUUGAGCUUCAUGAAUUACAACCCCUGCAUAAUACAGUAUUCAUAUUAUGAAAUCAUUUUUAAAUCCAUGUCUUUGAGAAGGGAUAACUGAAUAUUUUGAGAAUAUUUGAUAAUGAAUUACGCCAA